rnacentral:rRNA from 1 species
UAUUGAAUAAAUCUGACGUGGUUGUCGCUGGCUCCCCCGGGAGCAUGUGCACGC